rnacentral:rRNA from 1 species
CUUAGAGUAAUGUCUAAGUAUCAUUAAGUGAAUACAUAGCUUAAUGAGGGGAACUCAGGGAACUGAAACAUCUAAGUACCUGAAGGAAGAGAAAGAAAUUCGAUUCCGUAAGUAGCGGCGAGCGAACGCGGAUUAGCCCAAACCAAUAAAGUUUUCUUUAUUGGGGUUGCGGACAUAUCAUAACGAAGAGGUAUCGUAAUUGAAGAGGUUUGGAAAGACCCACCACAGAAGGUAAUAGUCCUGUAUGUUAAACGAGAAGACUUCAGAUAUGAUCCAGAGUACCACGGGACACGUGAAACCCUGUGGGAAGCAGGAGGGACCACCCUCCAAGGCUAAAUACUACCUAGUGACCGAUAGCGUAUAGUACCGUGAGGGAAAGGUGAAAAGAACCCCGGGAGGGGAGUGAAAUAGAACCUGAAACCCUGCACUUACAAGCUGUGGAAGCACAUUUCUUGUGUGACCGCGUACUUUUUGUAGAACGGGCCAACGAGUUACGUUAAGUAGCAAGGUUAAGCACUUAAGGUGUGGAGCCGUAGCGAAAGCGAGUUUUAACUGAGCGUUCAGUUACUUGACGUAGACCCGAAACCGGUCGACAUACCCAUGAGAAGGAUGAAGCGAAAGGAAAAUUUCGUGGAGGUCCGAACCCACGAGCGUUGAAAAGCUCGGGGAUGACUUGUGGGUAGCGGUGAAAUUCCAAUCGAGCCCGGAGAUAGCUGGUUCU